AGUGAACGCUGGCGGUAGGCCUAACACAUGCAAGUCGAACGGCAGCACAGUAAGAGCUUGCUCUUACGGGUGGCGAGUGGCGGACGGGUGAGGAAUACAUCGGAAUCUACUUUUUCGUGGGGGAUAACGUAGGGAAACUUACGCUAAUACCGCAUACGACCUACGGGUGAAAGCAGGGGAUCUUCGGACCUUGCGCGAUUGAAUGAGCCGAUGUCGGAUUAGCUAGUUGGCGGGGUAAAGGCCCACCAAGGCGACGAUCCGUAGCUGCUCUGAGAGGAUGAUCAGCCACACUGGAACUGAGACACGGUCCAGACUCCUACGGGAGGCAGCAGUGGGGAAUAUUGGACAAUGGGCGCAAGCCUGAUCCAGCCAUACCGCGUGGGUGAAGAAGGCCUUCGGGUUGUAAAGCCCUUUUGUUGGGAAAGAAAAGCAGCAGGUUAAUACCCCGCUGUUCUGACGGUACCCAAAGAAUAAGCACCGGCUAACUUCGUG
rnacentral:rRNA from 1 species